CAACCUAAAACACAGGGCUUUCAAGCAGGGGAGAGGAGUUUGUGUCCCGGAAAAAAGUUAAGGGGAAAACACAAGACUUCCACCCAGGAAACGGGUGUUCAUCUCCUGGGAGUACAACUCAAGGGGCUGGUGUUUUAACCCAAACCACAAUCUUUUUUUCUAAUCUUGCAGGACACUCCCAGAGGAUCUUAG